rnacentral:rRNA from 1 species
GACCUACGGGGGGCAGCAGUGAGGAAUAUUGGUCAAUGGCCGCAGGGCUGAACCAGCCAAGUCGCGUGAGGGAUGACGGUCCUAUGGAUUGUAAACCUCUUUUGUCAGGGAGCAAUUGGCGCUACGUGUAGCGUUAUCGAGAGUACCUGAAGAAAAAGCAUCGGCUAACUCCGUGCCAGCAGCCGCGGUAAUACGGAGGAUGCGAGCGUUAUCCGGAUUUAUUGGGUUUAAAGGGUGCGUAGGCGGAAUGCCAAGUCAGCGGUAAAAUCGCGGGGCUCAACCUCGCUCCGCCGUUGAAACUGGCG